rnacentral:rRNA from 1 species
UACGUAGGUGGCAAGCGUUGUCCGGAAUUAUUGGGCGUAAAGCGCGCGCAGGCGGUCCUUUAAGUCUGAUGUGAAAGCCCACGGCUCAACCGUGGAGGGUCAUUGGAAACUGGGGGACUUGAGUGCAGAAGAGGAAAGUGGAAUUCCGCGUGUAGUGGUGAAAUGCGUAGAGAUGCGGAGGAACACCAGUGGCGAAAGCGACUUUCUGGUCCUUAACUGACGCUGAGGCGCGAAAGCAUGGGGAGCGAACGGG